AUGGACAAGAUCCUGGGAGCAACAUUUUUAAUUUUUUGGCUUCAGUUAGGCUGGGUGAGUGGCCAACAGGAGAAAAGUGACCAGCAGCAAGUGAAACAAAGCCCUCAGUCUUUGAUUGUCCAUGAAGGAGGGAUUUCAAUCCUGAACUGCACUUAUGAAAACAGUGCAUUUGACUUCUUCCCAUGGUACCGGCAAUACCCUGGUAAAGGCCCUGAGUUAUUGAUAGCCAUACGUUCAGUUGUGAAUAAAAAGGAAGAUGGGAGAUUUACAGUCUUCUUCAGUAAAAGUUCCAAAUACUUCUCCUUGCAUAUCAUGCCUUCCCAGCCUGCAGACUCAGCCAUCUACUUCUGUGCAGCAAGUGCACAGUGCUCUCCAGGCACCUGCAGCCUGUACCCAAACCUACAGCUGAGGCUCCAGCCAGACCCUGCUGUGGUGGCUUACACUGGCAGAGCUGUAGACUAG